CUCAGAGCACACACAUACAGUUCAAUUGCCAUGGAGCCAAAGUCUUUCCCAUAGUCUUUCAUUAUACGAAUGGGCUCCAUGGCAUAGCUAUCUGGGCUAUCACUGCUCAAACAGGGCAAGCACCAAAUGACCCGGCUUUCUUGUCUUUGCAGGGGAAAAUCAAGCCUUUUAACAUGGGGCCAUAAUCCAAAGGCAACAGGCGAGCAACCAGGCUUCUCCAAUGCGAUGUGGCGAGAUUGCUCGUCACAUUUGUAUUUGGAGUAUGCGGAUUCUGAAAAUCAGCAAAGUAUGCAUCACAUUCACGUUUUAUGUGAAUGUGAUGCAUACUUUUCAAGUUAUGAAUAAUGUGGAAAAAUUUUAUUUCUCUGCUUGUUAUAAUUGCAUUACCCAUUGUGUAAGGUAAUUAAAUCACAUGCAGAGGGGAGGAUUUUGUGUGGGAGUGUCUGAGUGUAUUGUAUGUGUUUAAUGGUUGUGUUCCAAAACCCUGUGGGUGGUAUAAUGUGUAAGAAUGUGUACAUAAGGACAAUAAACCCACAACUCUGUCUGUUCACUGCUUGACCCUCAACACGGAGCUUUGUCUCGUUCUUGGGGGGAUUUAUUGUAUGCUGUUCCAGUUCGACUGCUAGGAGUGUAAACCUAUUCGUAUGGUUUUUCCUGUUCGGCUGUUUACGGCAUUCAUUUGGUUUCCUGUUCGGCGGAUUGGUGUUCUGCAGUAGCUGUGCCUGUGUCUCUGGAAGGGGAAGAUCUCCUAAACGGCGGUUUAACCCUUUUAUGCUGAGGGUGCCGUUACAGGGAUGUAUGUUUUUUAGGGUACUUUUGGUGUGUUUUGAAAAAGUAUGUUUUAUCUGUGCUUGGAGAUAAUUGGAUUAGAAUUAGUACAGUCACUGAUCCAAUUAUCUCCUAGACAGAGGGGAGGGAUUGUGUGCUGUGUGUGGGAGUGUCGUGCCUUGUAACCUUAUUGUUAUUGGUCUGUGAAGGUCAUUGUCAUUCCUGGGCUACCAUUUGGUCUCAAAGGCAACAUAACCAGUCUGGCAAGUUUCAAUGUGUAUAAACUGAAAAAUGUAAUGUGCCAAAUUUGACCCUGUAACUUUCCAAUAACACCAUAAAACCUGUUUUACCUGUGAGACAUCGCUGAAUACAAAUAUGUGUAUAUUAUUGCAGUAACAGCUUGGGGUACAUCCAAACUUUGGGGAAAAAUAUGUUCAUUUUAAUUAUGGUAUGUGGUUAUCUAAGGGGAGGAGAUGUAUGGAAUGUAUAUUGUGUUUAUUGGCUGUACUGUUAAUUAUGUGGGUGUCUCCCUUGCAUGGGCAGAAUCACAUAAAAGAGAGUGUCUGUCAUUAAAGCUUUAGUUCUGCUUGACCCUUCAAAACGUAGCCUUGUCACGUUUUUGAAAGGGAGAUUUUGCAGAAUAAUCACUAAGCUCUUUUCAGACCUGUACCUGACUUCUACCUUGGAUCCAGCAGAGGGGAAUAAGCAGCUCCAUCACUAUACAGCGACUUGCCGG
rnacentral:lncRNA from 1 species